rnacentral:rRNA from 1 species
GACGAACGCUGGCGGCGUGCUUAACACAUGCAAGUCGAACGGUGAAGGGGAGCUUGCUCCCCGGAUCAGUGGCGAACGGGUGAGUAACACGUGGGCAACCUGCCCCAGACUUCGGGAUAACGCUUCGAAAGGAGUGCUAAUACCGGAUACGAACUCCUUGGGCAUCCUUGGGGUUGGAAAGUUUUUCGGUCUGGGAUGGGCCCGCGGCCUAUCAGCUUGUUGGUGAGGUAACGGCUCACCAAGGCGACGACGGGUAGCCGGCCUGAGAGGGCGACCGGCCACACUGGGACUGAGACACGGCCCAGAGUCCUACGGGAGGCAGCAGUGGGGAAUAUUGCGCAAUGGGCGAAAGCCUGACGCAGCAACGCCGCGUGAGGGAUGACGGCCUUCGGGUUGUAAACCUCUUUCAGCAGGGAAGAAGCGAAAGUGACGGUACCUGCAGAAGAAGCACCGGCUAACUACGUGCCAGCCGCCGCAGUAAUAC